rnacentral:lncRNA from 1 species
CAGUUGAAAUGAAGCCAUCUGAAGUAUUUGCAUCAGCCCAUAGAAUGGACCAACACAUCCCAGCUGGUGAUACCUUGUCUGCUCAAUCUGCUGACUUCACUGAGGACAAAGCAAAUGGUCCAUCACAUAGCGAGUUUGCCUUAGCCUUCACCAGCAAACCCAAGAUCCCUCGCACUCCUGACGGGCAGGGCACCAGCCCUAGAAAGGGAAAGGUCCCAGCCAUUGCCCCCCAGUUCUCUCAGUCUGAACCCCGACAAACAAGCCAUCCAAGCUCCUCAGGAUCAUCCACAAGGAGCAGACAGAGUAAGUGGAAAAUGUCAUCGUUCUGUUUGUCAUUCCUUGGGGUGGGAGAGGAGGGAGUGUUGUAGAAACUCUUCAGGAAUGAAGUCGUAGGCUACAAAUGUGCCAGGAGUCUAUGACAUUGUGCUUGUCAUCUGCAGGAUGUACAGCCAUGUAAUUGUAUCCUGCUGAACACUGCUCCUAUUUCCAGGCUGUCAUGUGAGCAGUUAAGAGACAUGCUUUUUCCUGUCUCUGGGUGGAGAAAAGUGACCCAAAUUCUCAGAAGUUUUUGGGGAAGCUUAUGAGUCUCAGAUUAGACCUUCUCUAGAUGUCAUCAGAGUUUUUCCUUUUCUUUAGACAUUUGUUCAUCCCACUGUGUAACUUGAAGUCGGAUCCCUGGGUGUGUCUACACUGCAGCUGAAUGUAGAGCAGAUGUCAGGCAGCUCAGGAGAUGGCUCAGGGCAGCUUGGUAAGCAGAGAGCCAAGCACAGUGUGCUGCUCAUGGCAGUCUCCUUUCUGCUGGAGACUGGUACUCCAGAACCACAUAGCCAUGCUGUGGCCUCCAAAGUUUAUAAAAAGUACUCAAUCUGGGGGGGGAGGGGGGGGUCAGAAGAGAGGGUGGUUUUGACUUGAGGAUGGAGAAAAAUGAUGGACACUUGCUUUGAGCCAGGCAACACAAGCUCAGUACAGAGGAAAAAUUGAUCUUGGAUGCUCACACAUCAGUAAACACGUGGUGUGUCAGCUGUGGAGUUGUUUUGGGGUGGAAGGGGAAGAAAGGUCCAUUCUUCAGCAAUGAACAAACUUUUUCCCAGGUGUGUGGAUAGGAAAAGCUGGAUUCAAAUACAACUCUGUGUCCAUCAUGAGUAAAAAUGGCAGGAGCAAAUGCAUCAUAACGAGUUUACUGAUGAUUAUUUGAUCACAAUAUAACAUCAGCUCUAUUCUUUAGCUGUAACUGUUACCUUGAAACAUUUGACAAAAAUAUAGUAAGUCAAUCCCAAGAAACUCGAAAUAUGUGUAUAUCAUUAGCUACUUAUUACAGAUAGAGAAAAUGAAGUGAAUUUAAAUAACCCAAUAAAUCAGUAACAGGGCUGGAAAGAGCAUUCUGAGCCUUCUGUGUUGCUCAUUCAUUGUUCCACACAGUUGCAUGUGCAGGGAAGUGGUGUGGUUUCGUUCAGGGAGUACAGGUGAGGCAUUGGAAGGGAAUGUUCUUGGUGGCAAAAGGAAGUUUUGACCUAGAGGCUCCUUGCUUCAUCACUCCUGUGCUGAGGUAAUGCAGCUCUUUCAGCUUUACCUUUGCUGCAUGUGCCCUGAGUUUUACCUCUGACAUCAGUGCUCUGUGUUUCCUGUGAGAGCAGCACUGUUCUGCCCUGACUGGAUGUGGUGUUAACACCCAGGAGUCUGUCCCUGGUUCCUGUUUCAGUUCAUUUCCAAAAGCAUUGGCCCAUUGAAAAGAAACCCUAGAGAAGAAAGCACAGUGUGUGUCUGUGUGUAUGUACACAAAAAAUCUUCUGCAUGUUCUAGUUUCUCCAGGGCAGCUUUACACUCCUGGGGAGAGUGUCCUAGGAAGGAUGAGACGUAUCAGUGUUGCUUUCAGAAGGUUCUGGAGCAAGAUCCUUUUCUAGUGGCAGAAGUUAAAUGUAUUUUAUUUUUAAAGUAGAUCACUUUGGGUUCUCUGUGGAUUCAGUAUAUGUGAUCUGUUAGUGCAGAUACUUGAGCUCUUCUAACUUUUAUUGUUUACACUUACCUUUUCUCUUUGCUGGGAACGUAUGCAGGCAUCCCAACUUGCUAUCUGUUCAUUUACCAUUUCUCCCAAUUUUUCACUUGGGAUUCCAGGUUAUAAUUUUCUAUCUGUCCACAUGUGCCACAAGACAGUGUCACCAAUAGAAUGUUCAACUCUUCCUGCUAAAAAUAGCAAAUAAAUUAUUUUGCAAACAACUAAUCAUCCACUCACUUUGUGUACAUGUAUGCAGCCUUGUUGUCUGCUGUCACAGAGCACCUAUUAAUUAGCUCUUGUCCAUCCUGCAGGGGCUUUCACACAGGUGUUUAUAGGUGGGAAGAGUUACAUGAUGGUUGUAAGGACCAGAUUUUUAAAGGACUAAAAUGGGUUUUAAGCACAUAUGUUGAAGCUUGAGAUUCUCAAAGGUAAUUCUCAGCUGUUACUUAAAGAUGCAGGGAAGGGGUCUGAAGCAAGCGAGCCCCUAAUGUUUCCCUAGUAAAACUCUGUGCUUACUGCUCCUUUAAUUUCCUAGCUGACUCAUCUGUAGGUCAAAAAUGGUAUCAGAUGCACAGAUACCAGUAAUCAGUAGAUUCCAGCAGUUGCUGCCUCCCAUUUGCCUGCUGUAUAACCAUGUAGGAUUUUAUGUAUCAAGAGACUCUGUUCCAGUGGAAGACUAAUUUGUGGGUUUCUUGGUAUUUCUGGAGAAAUGCAAGUUUUUAUAGCUGAUGGACAUGAUGAGAAAAAGAGGACUUUCUGAUUUUACUUGAUGCAUUCACUUAUUUUGGAGGCACAUUUUUAGCUUGAUUUUAGUAUUUAUUACAGGUGUAUUUUCUGGAAGCAAGUUGAUUUUAUGUAAACCUACCUGAAGUAGCUGGACUGCUCCUCUUGGAGCACUGGAGUGUGUGGAAUGCCUGAGGAAUGCAGAGGAAGCCCAGGUACUUAGUGCAGCUACAGGCCUGGGGCCAGAUUCCUGCCCAAGAUGCAGCCCCUGCUGUUAGCUGAAUUCUAGAGCAAAAGCAAGCUCCUCCAAGUAAAACCAGCCAUGCUGGGAUCCUCUGUGAUUUCCACUUCCAAGCUGGCACAGGGAUGACACUGGCAGCAUGGCUGGAGCAUAGGGUACCACAUGGAGCAUAGGCACCUCCAAAUUUAGACCUUUUCAACUGUGUUCCAUGUGGACAUGGUUACAUGGUUAAUCCACUCUGAUCCUUAUUCUCUCUCUGUUCCAGGCAACUUUGCAUGGGUGUGCUGAAGCUGUUUGCAGUUUACCAAGUUCUGUCUAAGGCACAUUGAAGCUAGGGCAAUAAAAAUCAAAAAUCUCUACCAGAAAAAUGGGGAAUGUUUUUUAUCGGGAGUGCUGGUGAUGCCCUUUCAGUUCUUUCAAUAUCCUCUAAAAAAGGGUUGCCAUAAAUACAUUCUGCAGUUUUAAGUUGCAGCAUCUUGAGUUAAAGUGCCUUUCUGUAUGUGUUUUGCAAUGUUUGUGUCCCUGUACAAGUUGAACAGGUGUUGCCCUCAGGCAGUUUCUGUCUUGUAAGAAAUCCUGCUUUCAGCUGACAGACCCUUUCUCGAUGUUUUUCUGCAGGCAGCCAGUCCUACAGGAAGUGAGAACAGUUCCUUUCCUCGAGAAUCACCUCUCACAUUGUUGAAGGACAGAGCCAGCUUCCUGUAAUAAGGUUUACAGGUGACCUACAGAGGAGAGUGAGGUUGUUGACACUGCAGGCCUUGCAGGGAUUCAGAAUUAUCUGAUGGGAUGUGUCUGUGGUCUCUAAAGCUGGCUAAGACAAGGGCCUUGUUAUUAGAAUUUGAGGUCUCAGCAGCAGCCCAGGACUGACAUAGGAGAUGGAUAUUCUCUGAUAGUUUACUCUACAGUGACAUUGCCACCUUGAGAAGAAACUCUUGCUCUCUGCCUUCUGUGUCAGAGUAAAUGGCCUUUGGAAACAGAAUGUAGGCUCAGCCCAGGAGUCUUACCAAGCAACUGUAUUUUUUACUUACUGCUUGCUGAAGCAGCCUGCCAAUUGCUUUUUAAAAAAUGUUGCCUGUAUGACUGGGUUGGGAGGUAUCCGUGUUCAAGGGAUCUGCAUGAAGAGGGACAGUGUCUGCCACAUGUACAGAGCCUUCCUGCCCAGAGCAGUCCUGCGUGGGGUGAGAUCUGCAUGGCCUCCAGACCCUGAAGAGCUUCUGGGUGACCUAUAGCAGAUGAAAAACACUGUUACUGUGCCCAAGGCAGCAUCCGUGCUCACCUCUGAGGUCCUUAUCUGCAGCAAUUACUCCUAUUCCUUCUUUCUACAUUUUUUUCCUUAAUUCUACUGUUUAACGUUUGUGGAAUGAAAAAUGUCUUUUUUCCCCCCUGGAAUGAAGGAAGAGCUUUGCUUCUUCAUUCAUAGAAGAAACCAUGAGAAUGUGAACAGAUCAAAAGCAACUUUCUCUUUACAUGUAACUAUGCUCCAUCUUCUU